rnacentral:rRNA from 1 species
UACGGAGGGUGCAAGCGUUAUCCGGAUUCACUGGGUUUAAAGGGUGCGUAGGCGGACAGGUAAGUCAGUGGUGAAAUCUCUGGGCUUAACUCAGAAACUGCCGUUGAUACUAUCAGUCUUGAAUAUUGUUGAGGUUUGCGGAAUGGGUCAUGUAGCGGUGAAAUGCAUAGAUAUGACCCGGAACACCUAUUGCGAAGGCAGCAGGCUAAACAAAGAUUGACGCUGAGGCUCGAAAGCGUGGGGAUCAAACAGG